UACGGGGGGGGCAAGCGUUGUUCGGAAUUACUGGGCGUAAAGGGCUCGCAGGCGGCCGACUAAGUCAGACGUGAAAUCCCUUGGCUUAACCAAGGAAUGGCGUCUGAUACUGGACGGCUUGAAUUCGGGAGAGGGAUGUGGAAUUCCAGGUGCAGCGGUGAAAUGCGUAGAUAUCUGGAGGAACACCGGUGGCGAAGGCGGCAUCCUGGACCGAUAUUGACGCUGAGGAGCGAAAGCGUGGGGAGCGAACAGG
rnacentral:rRNA from 1 species